rnacentral:tRNA from 1 species
GCGCGAGUGGCGGAAUGGCAGACGCAUCAGACUUAGGAUCUGAUGCCCGUAAGGGCGUGGGGGUUCGACUCCCUUCUCGCGCACCA